CGAAAUUGCAUACUUAAGAGAAACUAACAGUACGAACAGACUUCAAAAAAAGGUUAACACAUUUCGUUAUUGUUUUCAUUACUUUCAUACAAAAUGCUAUGGAAUCGCAUUAAGAUUCAUACAGAAUUAUUUUAUUAGGUGGAUUAAUUUUACAAAUUAAUUGAAACAUCAUGGACGAAUGAUUUUCAGGGCCGGUCCUGAGGCUAGGCAGACUAGGCCGCCGCCUAAGGUCCCUAUAAGACGAUUAUGCGUCUAAGAAUGCAAGAAGAGUACUUUUUUUUAUGUUAUAUGUAUAUAUAUGAAGGGGCCCUUUUUCGGACCCCCGAAACCUCAGGGGCGGCCCUAAUGAUUUUUUGUAAUACAAGCAGGUGGAAUAAAAUAAUAAAAAACAAAGCUAUCGAAGCCUCAAGAAGGAGUUUCAAACAUACCCUAUUUUGAUUGACUUUCU